UCCUCAGUAGCUCAGUGGUAGAACGGUCGAAUGUUAACCGAUUGGUCGUAAGUUAGAAUCAUACUUUGGGAG